ACACCUUAUCAUACCAGUACUUCCCCGGUUUCAACUUCUUUGGUGGAUGCUCACAGCUUUGCAAGUCAACCAACUCUCUAAGGGAAAGACAUUUACCAUUUACGAUCACGAGAUGGGGAGGAAGCUGAUUUGAUUGACAUGACUUUUCCAAUUUCACAAUCUCAUCCAUUUGAUUUACCAUUUACGAUCACGAGAUGGGGUGGAAGCUGAUUAGAUUGACAUGACUUUUCCAAUUUCACAAUCUCAUCCAUUUGCCAUUUACUUAGCAGCCGCUUAAGCAUUGUAGAACACUUGCCUAAUGAAUCCCGUUUUGAUUCAUUAAUACGAUAACCAACGCAAGUAAUGCACUUUCU
rnacentral:lncRNA from 1 species